AAUACAGAAGGCCCAGUUAAAUUUGAAUUUCAGAUAAACAAGUAACCUUUCAGCAUAAGUUUAUUCCAUGUUAGAUUUGGGACAUACUUAUACUAAAAAAUUAUUUGUUGCUCAUCUGAAGUUUAAAUUUAACUAUAUGCCCUAUACUUU
rnacentral:miRNA from 14 species